CAGGGAAUUUUGCGCAAUGGGCGAAAGCCUGACGCAGCGACGCCGCGUGGGGGAAGAAGGCCUUAGGGUUGUAAACCCCUUUUCUGGGGGAAGAGAUAGGACGGUACCCCAGGAAUAAGCCCCGGCUAACUACGUGCCAGCAGCCGCGGUAAUACGUAGGGGGCGAGCGUUGUCCGGAAUUACUGGGCGUAAAGGGCGCGUAGGCGGCCCAGGAAGUCUCCGGUGAAAUCUCCCGGCUCAACUGGGAGGGGUCCGGGGAAACUCUUGGGCUUGAGGGCAGCAGAGGAGGGUGGAAUUCCCGGUGUAGUGGUGAAAUGCGUAGAUAUCGGGAGGAACACCAGUGGCGAAGGCGGCCCUCUGGGCUGUACCUGACGCUGAGGCGCGAAAGCGUGGGGAGCGAACCGG
rnacentral:rRNA from 1 species